AAAACUUACUGCUCAUAAGGAGUUUUUUUUAUUAUUUUUUUAUUAAUUUUUUUUUUCUCCGUUUUUCUUCCUAAAUUUAACCAUACUUCUGAGUGAAACUUGUUCUUGCUUUAUCAUAUUUUAUUUUGUUAUGUUCUAUUUUAUUUUUAAUGAAGGUAAAGAUGAAGUUCUUAGUACUUCAAAAAAACCAAAAAAAGAUGUUCUUAAACUAGAAACUGAGCAAUCAGGAAAAUUACGGAGGAAGCAAUCAGAAUAUUUGGUUUCUAAACGUGAAGGGUUGUUC
rnacentral:lncRNA from 1 species